rnacentral:rRNA from 1 species
CAGUCGCCGCGGGAAUACGAAGGGUGCAAGCGUUAAUCGGAAUUACUGGGCGUAAAGCGCACGCAGGCGGUUUGUUAAGUCAGAUGUGAAAUCCCCGAGCUUAACUUGGGAACUGCAUUUGAAACUGGCAAGCUAGAGUCUUGUAGAGGGGGGUAGAAUUCCAGGUGUAGCGGUGAAAUGCGUAGAGAUCUGGAGGAAUACCGGUGGCGAAGGCGGCCCCCUGGACAAAGACUGACGCUCAGGUGCGAAAGCGUGGGGAGCAAACAGGAUUAGAUACCCCAGUAGUCCCUGUCUCUUAUAC